GAAUGGCAUAACGAGGGUUUAACUGUCUCCCUCCCCUAGUCAAUGAAAUUGAUCUGCCCGUGCAGAAGCGGGCAUAAAUACAUAAGACGAGAAGACCCUAUGGAGCUUUAGACGAAAGAUCAAACAUGUAAAGAAACCAAACUAACCAAAAGGAACACAAAGGCCACUAAACCCAACGUAAAAUGAUCCAAAUGUCUUCGGUUGGGGCGACCAUGGGGGAAAGAAAAGCCCCCACGAGGAACUAGGGGCAAUCCAUUAAGUCAAGAGAUACACCUCUAAGCAACAGAAAAUCUGACCAAAAAUGACCCAGGACACUAAUCCUGAUCAACGAACCAAGUUACCCUAGGGAUAACAGCGCAAUCCUUUCCCAGAGUCCAUAUCGACGAAAGGGUUUACGACCUCGAUGUUGGAUCAGGACAUCCUAAUGGUG
rnacentral:rRNA from 1 species